GUGGGGAAUAUUGGACAAUGGGCGCAAGCCUGAUCCAGCAAUGCCGCGUGGGUGAAGAAGGUCUUCGGAUCGUAAAGCCCUUUCGACAGGGACGAUGAUGACGGUACCUGUAGAAGAAGCCCCGGCUAACUUCGUGCCAGCAGCCGCGGUAAUACGAAGGGGGCUAGCGUUACUCGGAAUUACUGGGCGUAAAGGGCGCGUAGGCGGCUCUGUUAGUCAGGCGUGAAAUUCCUGGGCUUAACCUGGGGACUGCGCUUGAUACUGCAGGGCUUGAGGCCGAGAGAGGGUGGUGGAAUUCCCAGUGUAGAGGUGAAAUUCGUAGAUAUUGGGAAGAACACCGGUGGCGAAGGCGACCACCUGGCUCGGUUCUGACGCUGAGGCGCGACAGCGUGGGGAGCAAACAGGAUUAGAUACCCCUGUAGUCC
rnacentral:rRNA from 1 species